CGCGCACGUUGGAACCGAAGAGAGCUCUGUUGUUGCAAUGUUCAGCCCACAAGACCUUACUGGUGAAGGAAUGGGACAAGACCCAUCUUUAUGCAAAGCCAGCGUUACAGUAAUGUCCCAGCAUCUCAUAAUCUAUCCUGGGGAAUUCAGCUGCCUCCCAGGGUGAAUACAGGUAUUCCUGAUGACAGUCUGCCUUCUAUCUUACAGAGCAGCUUGUUGCUAUAUACCAUUGAAAAGCCUUCAGAGCUGAGAGGUACUACUAACCAAUAACCUGCUUGGCUCAAAGGGCCAGCACCUUCUCUCUAAAGCCCAAGAGGAGUUUGAGGAAAACUAGGUGUCUGUGUUCACUCCAGGCUGAAGUUACAGUCCCAGAGCCUGUAAAGGUGAACCCACUGGGACUGGCUGGGGGAGAAGAGGAAGAUUUGUUCCAGAAGGAACUGUCUGAGGGAUGAUAAAGAUUUCUAUACAGAGAAAGGGAGUAAUAAUCACUUGUUGAAAACAUUGGUUUUAUUUCUUCCAGGUCUGAGCAAAUAAGGUGUAUAAAAAAUGGUAGGUAUCUGUUUAAAUAUUUAACUGAUUUUAUAUUAGCAACCUUUUGCUCCUAGGUUACA
rnacentral:sRNA from 1 species